UACAGAGGGUGCGAGCGUUACUCGGAAUUACUGGGCGUAAAGGGUGCGUAGGCGGUUAAUUAAGUUAGGUGUGAAAGUCCCGGGCUUAACCUGGGGAGGCCGCCUAAUACUGAUUGGCUAGAGGACUGUAGAGGAAGGUGGAAUUUCCGGUGUAGCGGUGAAAUGCGUAGAUAUCGGAAGGAACACCAGUGGCGAAGGCGACCUUCUGGACAGUUACUGACGCUGAGGCACGAAAGCAUGGGGAGCAAACAGG
rnacentral:rRNA from 1 species